rnacentral:rRNA from 1 species
UGGGGAAUUUUGGACAAUGGACGAAAGUCUGAUCCAGCGACGCCGCGUGAAGGACGAAGGUUUUCGGAUCGUAAACUUCUUUUGCAGGGGACGAAUAUGCGCAAGCAUUUGACGGUACUCUGCGAAUAAGCCACGGCUAACUACGUGCCAGCAGCCGCGGUAAUACGUAGGUGGCGAGCGUUACUCGGAAUUACUAGGCGUAAAGCGCGUGUAGGCGGGAGCUUAAGUCCGCUGUUAAAUCUCACAGCCCAACUGUGAAAUGCCGGCGGAUACUGGGUUUCUUGAAUUCGGUAGAGGUAACUGGAAUUCCAGGUGUAGCGGUGAAAUGCGUAGAUAUCUGGAAGAACGCCAAAGGCGAAGGCAGGUUACUGGGCCGCAAUUGACGCUGAGACGCGAAAGCUAGGGGAGCAAACA